AUCCAUCUCCGGCCCCAACAACAUCUUCUCUGUCACAGCCGACAUCCGUUUCGUCACGUCUUCCUCAAGUCGCCGUCAUCCCUUUGAUUCACGAAAACCCUAGCUCCUAUUUGGGUUCAAUUUUAAAUUGACAAAAUUGAAACCCUUGGUUAUGACAUUGGGUUUGAUUAAGGUUUCGAAGCUGGCAGAGAUAAGUGAAUGUUCCCAGCUUCGUACUCUGCGGCUUCCUGACAGCUUGCUACCAGCAAGAGUAUGCAGCUUUUGAUGAUGGAAGCGUGAGUAUCUUGACGGCAACGACAUUGCAACUGAAGUGCUGCAUUGGAAAUCAUAUUUUGCUCUCUUUUCAGGUUAUGGGAGAUAUCAGGAAACACAAGAUGGUGGGAUGUAACAACUGGACAGUCAUCUGCAUUUAAUAGUCACAGAGAUGAAGUACGUAGAACUAAAUUCUCACAUGUUGUUGCUGGAGAUCGCAGCCGAGGGCGUGUAGCUGUGCUAUUUAAUGACAAUACAUUCUUUGUAUAUGAUCUUGUGAGUCCUAAGAGAAUUCGCUAUUUCCUAUAAGUUGGGAACGUCUUGUGUUUUCAAAGGUAUCUUACUAAUAUUCUGCAAUUUGAGGAAAAAAGAAGCACAAUACUGGUUUUCCAUUAAUUCUAGUGUUUUACUUUUGAAGAUGAAAGAUGAAGUACAUUGAAUGUCUGGCUGCUGUUGGAUGUACUUUUAUGUUAUCUUAACCGUUGUAGGACGUGUAAUUUGGAUCAUUUUAUUUAGUAGUUUUAUUAAUACGUUUAACUUGGAUGGAUGUAUUAUUUGGUAGGUUUUUGUUACUUUCGUGGGGAUGUCUUACUUGUAUGGUUUUACUUUUUCUCGGAUGGAUGUAUAAGGUUUGUAUGUGGUUUCUUUCACUUGUGUGAUCUCAGAUGUAUAUAAAGGCUUGUUUGGACCUA